UCCCCGGUAGUGUAAUGGUAGCACCACAGAUUCUGGAUCUGUUUGUGGGGGUUCAAAUCCUCCCUGGGGAACUA
rnacentral:tRNA from 6 species